ACUCAAAUGAAUUGACGGGGACUCACACAAGCAGUGGACCAUGUGGCUUAAUUCGACAACAAACGAAGAACCUUACCAGGACUAGAAACCCAACUGACACUCUGAUGAAAGUCAGACUUCGCAAGACAGUUGGGCAGGUGCUGCAUGGUUGUCGUCAGUUCGUGUCUUGAGACGUUCCCUUAAUUGGGGUAACGAACGCAACCCUUGCUCUGUGUUUUACAUGUCACAGAGGACUGCCCGAGAUAAUUGGGAGGAAGGCGAGGAUGACGCCAAAUCAGCAUGGCCCUUGAUGUCCUGGGCUGCACACGUGGUACAAUGGUCGGUACAAUGGGCGCUAAACCUUAAGGUGGAGCAUAAUCCCAUCAAAACCGAUCCCAGUUCGGAUUGAGGGCUGAAACUCGCCCUCAUGAAGUUGGAAUUGCUAGUAAUCGCCAAUCAGCUACGUGGCGAUGAAUACGUUCCUGAGUCUUGUACACACCGCCCGU
rnacentral:rRNA from 1 species